UUUAACUCAUACAAAAUUCGCCUCACCGGAGGAUGCGCGGUCCCGGCCGCUGACGUCCCCACAAUGGCCACUGGGUGGAGCCUGAGUCCUCUGAUUGCGUGGAAGGGCCCUGGGAAAAAUCGGGCCAAAUUUUACAGAAAUAUUGGUGGAAAAUGUGACCCAAGAAAUUCAGCCCAUCCCGCUUUCGUCCGCGUGUGUGACAACCUGGGGGACAGCAACUGUCGGGCAAGACUCGGAAGCCCCACCGAGUGGACCACGUGGGCUUUUACCAGGAGUCUUUCAGUGGCCCUAACCCUCGUUCUGAGACACCUGCCGUGCCUAGGCCACCCAUCGCUCGCUCUGCAGCCUGAGUCGCAGUUAACUAAACCGGAUUCUUCCAAGAAAGGAGUUCCGGCCCGGGGUUCCAGGCCUGUUUGCUAUGGAAGAGCAGGCUCCUGGAGCAUCGCCAAGGCCCGUUGCCUGGAUGGAGGCAGUUUCCACGCGGCACAUUUGGGUGGAAACGCCUAGAGGGAGAAUCUGCAGAAUCUGGGGGCACCUGACACCGGACGCUUCUCGGGCCCUCCGCAGGUGCGGCCAGGCUUGGGCCCUGACUGUCUCCCAGGUGACCUCCAUCUCUGCCCCACCAGCCCGGCUCUGGACCCUGGCCUGCAGAAGGCCCCUCACCACGCCGACAGGGGCCUGUAAAAUGCAAACCCAGCUGUAUCCACCAACUGCUUCCACCACGCAGGUGAAGCUGCCUUCUGCCCAGGGCCAGGAGCUCACGGGGCGUGGCCCGGCCACCUCGGCGACUUCAUGGAGCACCACCCACCUUCACCCUUCACUGAGCCCCCACAGCCCUGCGCCUCGGGGACCCACCCCGGCGGGGCUCGCUCCAGGCGGGGGCUGGGCUGUCGCUGGCUCCACUGGGCCCCUCACACAUGCUGUUCCCACCUCUGGAACACGGUUCCUGACUACUCCCGUCACCUCACCCCACUCACUUGGAAAGGUGGACGCCCGUCACAGCCCCACCCCGACCUGUGUAGCUCUGUGUGGGGCCCUGGCCGCGCUGUAAGUUCCACAAGCCUCUGUGGACCGCGCGGGUGGCCGUCUCUCCCCAUGCCCAGCACAGUAGCCAGCACAUCCUGGAGGUGCAUGCGGUGUGUGCCAGGUGGAGGGACCACGAAACUUCAUGAAGCUCCGUGUCACCAAGGACCAUCACUGAGGGCAGAGGCGCCCCCGUGUCUGUGUUUCAUGUCAGACAUCAAACUCCUGGAAAACGGCAGCUCGAAGGCCUCCUACUCCUGCGUGGGACAAGGGCUCUGGUGGUCGCCCACCCCGCCCCCAGGUCUCCACCUCCACACCCCCUCCUCCCCUCGGAGAGCCCAGGGCCGAAUCCCCACACCCAGCCCCUUUCCCCUGGGCUUCCCCACUGCUUAUGGGUCCCGCCAAGCCUCGAGCCCCCCAGGAGGGCCUUGGUAA
rnacentral:lncRNA from 10 species